UGGCACCAGGAGCCUCUGCCAUGACAGGCUCACAGUGCAGUUGAGGCUGCAAGGCCGCUCCUCAGAUCCACGUGGACAGUCCCCAGGGUAUGAUGUGACAGCUCUGGGAUGCAGUGACACAGGCAUCCUGGUCUUCCUGACAUAGGUGCCGUUCCCGCCCAUGGACAGUGCCCUCUGAGGGAGGCUCCUGCCGCCCCCACCUUCCUGAGGAAGAGAGAGGUGAAGAGACCCACACCUGCCCAGGACACUGGAUGCACAGGAGAAACAUCCCAGCGGGAGGGGAGCCAGGAGGCUGACUCCAACCUGGCCUGACCGCUCUGUGCACACCUGCACCACAGACUGCUCUCAGCACUCAAGCUGCCCCGAGCCUGUGGUCACCGCCGCACGCCAUACCUUCCCUCGAUCAAACUCUUCAUCCCAGUCGUCAAGGAUGGUCUGGGUCCGGGCCAGUCUGCUGUCUUUGAUAGCAUCCUGACUGACCGCUGAAGGCUCACCAUCCCAGGUCAAAACUGCACAAGACAGGGUCCAAGGUCAUAAGAGGCGCUUGUCCCAGCCCUGUAAUCAGAAGACACACUGAAACCGAGUCACUGAAGAGACGACCACACGUUUGUAACGGCACCACAGGACGAGCUGCCAAACUGCUCCCUUCCCAGUGACGACCCUACCCCAUGUCCAAAACAACAAAAGCCAGCAGCACGAGACCCCAUCCUCUGUCUGACAGAAGAAGGGGACUAGCUCUAAGGGAAGCCUCCUAGCCAGCCACAAAGGGCCUGCUGCCGUGGAGACCUUCAAGUCCCCCACAGGCCCAUGCCCUAGAGGCCUGGACCCGAGAAGGCGGCUGCUCCAGGUGUUCAGGUCACUGGCUUGCCCUCCCUGGGAAGAGUAGGACCACAGCCACCCUUUCCCUCUCUCUCUGGCUUCCUGACCACAGUGGCAGUUUUGCUCUGCCAUGUGUCACUGUGACAAGCUGUACCAGAGGCCCAGAACUGCAUGGGGCACGGAGCCGAGACUAGAGCUCUGCCUGCCUCCCUCUCAAGCUCUUGGGUUAUACACUCAGGCACUAUGCCCAGCCACGCUUUUUCUCUAAGACGACCAUCUCAGGUAUUAGCUAGUGACAGAAAGCUGACAUCGGUUAGUGCUCCCAGGAGCCUGCAAUGAGGAACAGUAAGUUGCCACCUCGGUGGCUAUCAGCAGGAGUCCUCACCUAGGC